AUUGAACGCUGGCGGCAUGCUUUACACAUGCAAGUCGAACGGCAGCGCGGGCUUCGGCCUGCGGCGAGUGGCGAACGGGUGAGUAAUACAUCGGAACGUGCCCAGUAGUGGGGGAUAGCUCGGCGAAAGCCGGAUUAAUACCGCAUACGACCUGAGGGUGAAAGCGGGGGAUCUUCGGACCUCGCGCUAUUGGAGCGGCCGAUGGCAGAUUAGCUAGUUGGUGGGGUAAAGGCCUACCAAGGCGACGAUCUGUAGCUGGUCUGAGAGGACGACCAGCCACACUGGGACUGAGACACGGCCCAGACUCCUACGGGAGGCAGCAGUGGGGAAUUUUGGACAAUGGGCGAAAGCCUGAUCCAGCAAUGCCGCGUGUGUGAUGAAGGCCUUCGGGUUGUAAAGCACUUUUGGCGGGAACGAAAAGGACUUGUGCCAAUACCACGGUUCGAUGACGGUACCCGCAGAAU
rnacentral:rRNA from 1 species